AGAGUACUCCCUCCGUUCGAAAUUACUUGUCUCAAAAAUGGAUGUAUCUAGAACUAAAAUACGUCUAGAUACAUCCAUUUCUGCGACAAGUAAUUCCGAACGGAGGGAGUAUAUA
rnacentral:pre_miRNA from 1 species